rnacentral:rRNA from 1 species
ACGAACGCUGGCGGCGUGCUUAACACAUGCAAGUCGAACGGAAAGGCCCCUUCGGGGGUACUCGAGUGGCGAACAGGUGAGUAACACGUGAGUAACCUGCCCUUGACUUCGGGAUAACUUCAGGAAACUGGGGCUAAUACCGGAUAGGAAUCCUUGCUGCAUGGUGGGGGUUGGAAAGCUUCGGCGGUUUUGGAUGGACUCGCGGCUUAUCAGCUUGUUGGUGGGGUAGUGGCUUACCAAGGCUUUGACGGGUAGCCGGCCUGGGAGGGCGACCGGCCACAUUGGGACUGAGAUACGGCCCAGACUCCUACGGGAGGCAGCAGUGGGGAAUAUUGCACAAUGGGCGGAAGCCUGAUGCAGCAACGCCGCGUGCGGGAUGACGGCCUUCGGGUUGUAAACCGCUUUCAGCAGGGGCGAAGCUUGUGGUGACGGUACCUGCAGAAGAAGCACCGGCUAACUACGUG